UCAGCGCUUACGAGUCUCUCGAUUAACCGAUUCGUGGCCACUGCCGUGCCCAGCGCGUCAUUUAAAAAGAUUCAGUGAGGCCGAUGACGCGCCAGGCGCGGCAUACAAGGAUUGUUAAAAAACACGUUAAAACUAAUUCAUUAUACUGUAAUUACAAUUCCUUAGUCUGAAUGUGCAUAAAACACAACCAGUGGCCAAUGCCGCACGUGGGGCGUCAUCGUUCAGCAGGGCCGGUGACGCUUAUGGCGCGUCAUCGAACAAACUGCUUGGCCUGUGGUAAGAAGUCGUGAAAAUGAAGGUGGCAACGAAUCGGUUAAAA